UGUUCUGUCCAUACUCCCACACUGAAGGGGCCGUGAACCAGCUAAAUCUCACGAAAAAAUUCCAUCUGGACAGAGGCCAUAGCCUCAAAGGGAAACAUUUCUCCAGAGGCUGAGAAGGUGAAGUGGACAUAGUCUCACUCAAUCCUCAGAAAGCACACAAGCAGCCCAGGAACAAAUCACAGAGCCACCAAAGUUUUGCUGACCCUUCAGCCCUCUUGCUUAAAGAAAACAAUGAGAAGUCAUUGCUUAUAUGCUGCUAUCCAGGAGAGGUCAGGUGUGGAUCUCCUGUCUAAAUAACUCCAGCUAGAGACAAGACUGGAACUGUGAGCAAGUGAACAAAGGGAUCUGGAGUGUGUAAAAAACAAUGCGUAUCUGACACACCCUCAAAUCUUCAGAAUUCUAAAUUAUUUAAGAACACUUUGACAAGGAAGGGCUAGCACAUCAGUCUGGUGAACUCCCAGUCCCCACUCUGGUAUUAUUACCUACUCUUCCCUGAGGUUGUUUGCUCAUCAUUAUUUAAAUAGCACAUGCAAAGACUCAGAAGAUAAACUCAGUCAUUCAGGAUCUGUCACAUCCUCCUCCUGUCUUGGGGGUCAGGGAAAGGGAUGGAGAACUUCUACCUGGGCUAACUGAUCAUGGACAACCAGACAAACUGACAAAUUUCCUACGACUCUGUUGAAAGAAUCAGGAGUGCAAGUACAAGGCUCAAAGUGAAAGGAACCCCUCUCUGCAGUAUCGUAUGCCAGGCCAUACACUGCAGUACAGUAUGGCUUCAUUAUCAGUGCAGGCUCUUUUUGGGACAACCAUCUAUAUGCUUGUCUACAACAUUAGGCUCUGGGCUUCUGCGUAUUACUAGCUGAAGUCUUCCAGUGGGUCUUGCAAGAGAGUUCCUCCAACCCCCAAACACUCUUUAUAAAACACCUCACAGCCAACCAGCUCCACUCCCUUGUCCCGUGGACACACCGCUCUCCUCCCCUACCUACGCUUCCCCGUUUCCCCUCAUAUUAUCAGUAGAUUGCUAGCUUUUCAACUUCUUUCCGGUCUUCCAUGGCAUCUUCUAGAAAUACAUUGUCUAAUAUAGCUUAUAUCUUAUCCAUUCCAAUGAGACCAAGUUUUAAUGAAGAACUCACAGCAUCUCGACUUUAAAGACAUUUUCCUUUUCAACAAAGAAUUUCUAUGUAGGCUCACACUGCAUGUGGAACACCCAUGAAAACAUCUUCUAUGGCCUCUGAAGUAAAAGCGAUUCAUGUGAC